UACGGAGGGUGCGAACGUAAUCGGAAUCACUGGGCGUAAAGCGCGCGUAGGCGGUUCGUUAAGUGGGAUGUGAAAUCCCCCGGGCUUAACCUGGGAAUUGCAUUUCAAACUGGCCGACUAGAGUACGGUAGAGGGAGGUAGAAUUUCCUGUGUAGCGGUGAAAUGCGUAGAUAUCGUAAGGAAGACCAGUGGCGAAGGCGGGUCUCUGGACAGUUCCUGACGCUGAGGCACGAAGGUCAGGGGAGCAAACGGG
rnacentral:rRNA from 1 species